rnacentral:sRNA from 1 species
GUUGAACCGUCUUAAACUGUCCGCUUCCAUCC